GAGAAAAUGGCGGCGGAGCCGAACAAGACCGAAAUCCAGACUCUUUUUAAGAGGCUUCGCGCGGUUCCAACCAACAAGGCCUGUUUCGACUGCGGCGCCAAGAAUCCGAGUUGGGCCAGCAUCACGUAUGGUGUUUUCUUGUGCAUUGACUGUUCCGGGGUGCACCGCUCUCUGGGCGUCCAUCUGAGCUUCAUCAGGUCCACAGAGUUGGAUUCCAACUGGAACUGGUUCCAGCUGAGGUGUAUGCAGGUCGGCGGGAAUGCCAAUGCGACGGCUUUUUUCCGCCAACAUGGAUGCACAGCCAAUGAUGCCAACACCAAAUAUAAUAGCCGAGCUGCCCAGAUGUACCGGGAGAAGAUCCGGCAGCUGGGGAGCGCGGCCCUGGCUAGGCACGGCACUGAUCUUUGGAUAGACAACAUGAGUAGUGCCGUUCCUAGUCACUCCCCAGAGAAGAAGGACUCUGAUUUCUUCACAGAACACACUCAAGAGUGGCUCACCGAGGCUUCUGUGAUCUGGCCUCCUUUUCAGCCCCCUGCCUGGGAUGCGCCAGCCACUGAGCCUUCAGGGACCCAGCAGCCAGCCCCGUCUACGGAGAGCAGUGGCCUGGCACAGCCGGAGCAUGGCCCCAACACAGACCUGCUUGGCACCUCACCCAAAGCCUCACUGGGUCAGUAUGCCAGCGGGCGGGCGUGGGGUGGCUGGGAGAGGGUGGACCUCAGAUGUUCUUUUCAGAGCUCCUGCUGCCUGGCCGUGUGGACAGAGGCCACAGGAGACUGAGCAUCUGUCUGAUUCUCUGGAGUGGGGACUGUGAUUGAAAUAGUGGAUGCAACACUGAUUUUAGAGCCAAGCCCUUUGAAUUGAUGAAUCUGGGUGGGCUGGUGUAUAAGGCCUGGGGUCUGCCUCUGAGUGUGGGGCUGGGUCUAGCCAAAGUGUUGGGGAGGCCAGCAUGAGACUGGACACCUAUCCCUGGGCUCUGAGGCAGGGCUGGCUUGUCU
rnacentral:sRNA from 1 species